UGGACUUUGAUUAGAUGCCCCUCAAGCACUGACUUUUACACGAGGUUAGUAGAGUUUUGGAUAUUUUUGCAUCUCAGCCGCGGUUACAGGUAUUUGCAGUGUCUUUGCCAAUAUAAGAAGAAUGCCAAGCGGGUAGUAUACGAUACAGCAACAAAAUAAUGCACGGAUAGAAAAAAUAUGUAUUUAUUUUUGUAAACAAUAAUAUAGAAAAGAGCUUUCAAUUAUCAGGUGUAAAGGAAAUGUAAAGUUAUAUAUUAGGAAAUUCUUAUCUAUACACCACGUACUAUGUUGUCAUUUUUCAAAUCUAUUUCUCAAAGGCCAUUAACAUACCUUGUUUUGUUAACAGUAGUUUUAAGUACAGAGCCCAAGUUCCAGAACUAGGACAACGAGGAGCUGAUGGCUAUCGAAUAAAGUGGAGAAAAUAAUCACUACUCCAACUCAGCAAAACCCAUCUGGGCACCAUUACUGCCAAAGCAUACAGGAACCCAGAAGAAUGUAUGUUGAC